CCUACGGGUGGCAGCAGUGAGGAAUAUUGGUCAAUGGCCGCGAGCCUGAACCAGCCAAGUCGCGUGAGGGAUGACGGCCCUACGGGUUGUAAACCUCUUUUGCCGGGGAGCAAAAGGCGCCACGCGUCGCGUCUCGAGAGUACCCGGAGAAAAAGCAUCGGCUAACUCCGUGCCAGCAGCCGCGGUAAUACGGAGGAUGCGAGCGUUAUCCGGAUUUCUUGGGUUUAAAGGGUGCGCAGGCGGAAGAGCAAGUCAGCGGUAAAAUUGAGAGGCUCAACCUCUUCCAGCCGUUGAAACUGCGUUUCUUGAGGGGGCGAGAAGUACGCGGAAUGCGUGGUGUAGCGGUGAAAUGCAUAGAUAUCACGCAGAACUCCGAUUGCGAAGGCAGCGUACCGGCGCUCAACUGACGCUCAUGCACGAAAGUGUGGGUAUCGAACAGGAUUAGAGACCCUUGUAGUC
rnacentral:rRNA from 1 species